AGAGUUUGAUCAUGGCUCAGGAUGAACGCUAGCUACAGGCUUAACACAUGCAAGUCGAGGGGAAACGACAUCGAAAGCUUGCUUUUGAUGGGCGUCGACCGGCGCACGGGUGAGUAACGCGUAUCCAACCUGCCCACCACUUGGGGAUAACCUUGCGAAAGUAAGACUAAUACCCAAUGACGUCUCUAGAAGACAUCUGAAAGGGAUUAAAGAUUUAUCGGUGAUGGAUGGGGAUGCGUCUGAUUAGCUUGUUGGCGGGGUAACGCCACAAGGCGACGAUCAGUAGGGGUUCUGGAGAGGAAGGUCCCCACAUUGGAACUGAGACACGGUCCAAACUCCUACGGCAGGCA
rnacentral:rRNA from 1 species